CCUACGGGAGGCAGCAGUAGGGAAUAUUGCUCAAUGGGGGAAACCCUGAAGCAGCAACGCCGCGUGGAGGAUGACGGUCUUCGGAUUGUAAACUCCUUUUGUUAGAGAAGAUAAUGACGGUAUCUAACGAGUAAGCAGCGGCCAACUCCGUGCCAGCAGCCGCGGUAAUACGGAGGGUGCAAGCGUUACUCGGAAUAACUGGGCGUAAAGAGCGCGUAGGCGGGAUAGCAAGUCAGAUGGGAAAUCCUAGGGGUUAAACAUAGAACUGCAGUGGAAACUGUUUGUCUAGAGUAUGGGAGAGGUAGGUGGAAUUCGUGGUGUAGGGGUAAAAUCCGUAGAGAUCAAGAGGAACACUGAUUGCGAAGGCGACCUGCUGGAACCCAACUGACGCUGAUGCGCGAAGGCGUGGGGAGCGAACAGGAUUAGAUACCCGGGUAGUC
rnacentral:rRNA from 1 species